AUUGAACGCUGGCGGCAUGCCUUACACAUGCAAGUCGAACGGCAGCAUGGAGGAGCUUGCUCCUCUGAUGGCGAGUGGCGAACGGGUGAGUAAAGCAUCGGAACGUACCGUGUAGUGGGGGAUAACGUAGCGAAAGUUACGCUAAUACCGCAUACGCACUGAGGUGGAAAGCAGGGGGAUCGCAAGACCUUGCGCUAUACGAGCGGCCGAUGUCAGAUUAGCUAGUUGGUAGGGUAAAGGCCGUACCAAGGCGACGAUCUGUAGCGGGUCUGAGAGGAUGAUCAGUCACACUGGAACUGAGACACGGUCCAGACUCCUACGGGAGGCAGUAGUGGGGAAUAUUGGACAAUGGGCGAAAGCCUGAGUCCAGCCAUGCCGCGUGUGUGAAGAAGGUC
rnacentral:rRNA from 1 species